AUUGAACGCUGGCGGCAUGCUUUACACAUGCAAGUCGAACGGCAGCGCGGGCUUCGGCCUGGCGGCGAGUGGCGAACGGGUGAGUAAUACAUCGGAACGUGCCCAGUAGUGGGGGAUAGCUCGGCGAAAGCCGGAUUAAUACCGCAUACGACCUGAGGGUGAAAGCGGGGGAUCUUCGGACCUCGCGCUAUUGGAGCGGCCGAUGGCAGAUUAGCUAGUUGGUGGGGUAAAGGCCUACCGAGGCGACGAUCUGUAGCUGGUCUGAGAGGACGACCAGCCACACUGGGACUGAGACACGGCCCAGACUCCUACGGGAGGCAGCAGUGGGGAAUUUUGGACAAUGGGCGAAAGCCUGAUCCAGCAAUGCCGCGUGUGUGAUGAAGGCCUUCGGGUUGUAAAGCACUUUUGGCGGGAACGAAAAGGACUGUGCCGAUACCACGGUUCGAUGACGGUACCCGCAGAAUAAGCACCGGCUAACUACGUG
rnacentral:rRNA from 1 species